GACGAACGCUGGCGGCGUGCUUAACACAUGCAAGUCGUACGGUAAGGCCCUUUCGGGGGUACACGAGUGGCGAACGGGUGCGUAACACGUGAGUAACCUGCCCACACCUUUAGGAUAGCGAUAGGAAACUGGUGCUAGUACUAGUUAUGUGCUCCUGCUGCAUGGGGGGGGUUGGAAAGCUCCGGCGGUUGUGGAUGGAUUCGCGGCCUAUCAGCUUGUUGGUGGGGUAGUGGCCUACCAAGGCGGCGACGGGUAGCCGGCCUGAGAGGGUGACCGGCCACAUUGGGACUGAGAGACGGCCCAGACUCCGACGCGAGGCAGCAGUGCGGAAGAUUGCACAAUCGGCGCCAGCCUGAUGCAGCAACGCCGCGGGCGGGAUGACGGCCUUCGGGUUGUAAACCGCUUUCAGCAGGGACGAAGCUUUUUGUGACGGUACCUGCAGAAGAAGCACCGGCUAACUACGUG
rnacentral:rRNA from 1 species